rnacentral:rRNA from 1 species
GCCGGCGGCGUGCUUAACACAUGCAAGUCGAGUGCGCGCCUGUAGCAAUACAGGUGGCGCACGGCGCACGGGUGCGUAACACGUGGGUAAUCUGCCCUUUGAUGGGGAAUAACUCGCCGAAAGGCGAGCUAAUUCCGCAUAAUAUUCCGGAAACUUAUGUUUCUGGACUGAAAGGCGUAAGUCGUCGGAGGAGGAGCCCGCGCACGAUUAGCUAGUUGGUAGGGUAAUGGCCUACCAAGGCUUUGAUCGUUAGCUGGUCUGAGAGGAUGGCCAGCCACACUGGAACUGAGACACGGUCCAGACUCCUACGGGAGGCAGCAGUGGGGAAUCUUGCACAAUGGGCGAAAGCCUGAUGCAGCGACGCCGCGUGGGGGAUGAAGCUUCUCGGAGUGUAAACCCCUUUCGAUCCGGACGAAUGCCCGCAAGGGAGUGACGGUACGGAUAUAAGAAGCCCCGGCUAACUACGUGCCAGCAGCCGCGGUAAUACGUAGGGGGCCA